rnacentral:lncRNA from 1 species
GUAUAUUUCUAAGACAUGUAAUAAUAUAUGACGAGAUAACAUGGCCACCAAAAAUACUGCACAAUAGAACAUAUUACACCAACAAUAAACAUUUGACUCCUCUGGAAAAUUGAUGUAUGAACAAAAAACAACAAAUGGUUAAGACAGACUGACUUGAUACAGACACAAAAUGAUUUUUAGAUCUUUAAAUACAUAGUAUUAAACCCCCCCCCCCCCCC